CUAAAAUUCAUGUACGCCUAUAGAAAUGAAGAUUUCGAAAAUUUGCAUCGCAAACGAAUGCCGAGAGCAAAAAAUUUAGGAAUCCAGAACAUUCCAAUGUUGAAUACACCAUAUGCAAAGAAGCCAAGGAGAUUGUAGCAGACAAAAUCGAAGUUGAGGCCAAUUACACUGAAAGAAAGAAAUGAAUUAAAAUUCCCAAAAGAAUGAUCAAUUUGUAAAAUAAAUAUAUUGCAAACGAAGAUUUAUCUAUUUGUAUGAUAUCAGUGUAAUAUCAUAUAAAUGGACAAGUGUGAUCAGAUUUAGUAAUUUUUAUUACUAGAUCCGCUCUCAUAAGUUUAGACAGCCUCACCUGAUUUAAAUAAUUCCAACAUUUGGAACAGGGGGGAGCAGUCUACACUGACCAAUGCAUUUUUGAUAAUAAAUUAUACAUAUAUGGUAACACUGGUUAAUAAACUA